rnacentral:rRNA from 1 species
GUUUUAGAGUCCUGGGCUCAGGAUGAACGCUGGCGGCGUGCUUAACACAUGCAAGUCGAACGGUGAAAGAGAGCUUGCUCUCUGGAUCAGUGGCGAACGGGUGAGGUAACACGUGAGCAAUCUGCCCCUGACUCUGGGAUAAGCGCUGGAAACGCGUCUAAUACCGGAUACGAGCUGCGAAGGCAUCUUCAGCAGCUGGAAAGAACUUCGGUCAGGGAUGAGCUCGCGGCCUAUCAGCUAGUUGGUGAGGUAAUGGCUCACCAAGGCGUCGACGGGUAGCCGGCCUGAGACGGGUGACCGGCCACACUGGGACUGAGACACGGCCCAGACUCCUACGGGAGGCAGCAGUGGGGAAUAUUGCACAAUGGGCGCAAGCCUGAUGCAGCAACGCCGCGUGAGGGACGACGGCCUUCGGGUUGUAAACCUCUUUUAGCAGGGAAGAAGCGAAAGUGACGGUACCUGCAGAAAAAGCACCGGCUAACUACGUG